rnacentral:rRNA from 1 species
UACGUAGGGGGCAAGCGUUGUCCGGAAUCAUUGGGCGUAAAGAGCGUGUAGGCGGUUCGAUAAGUCUGCUGUGAAAGUCCAGGGCUCAACCCUGGGAUGCCGGUGGAUACUGUCGGGCUAGAGUACGGAAGAGGCGAGUGGAAUUCCCGGUGUAGCGGUGAAAUGCGCAGAUAUCGGGAGGAACACCUAUUGCGAAGGCAGCUCGCUGGGACGUCACUGACGCUGAGACGCGAAAGCGUGGGGAGCAAACAGG